UUAUAAAUAUAACAAUUGAUGAAACCUCUUAAGAACAGUUCCGGUUUCCCUGUUUUCCUGACUUACAUCUGGCGGUCAUUCUAUAUAUGCUCCUGUCUUGCAUUUUAAAGAGAACUGAAGGCGCCGCGGGAAGAAGUUAGAGGCCAGACAGAGAGUAGAAAGUGGUGGUCGUCGCCGGCGGUCCGUUAGUUCAUAGGCUAGAGAGCCACCGCCACCGGCGGUGUGCGUCGGUCCAAUUCCACCUCAUCCCGUCCUUUUACAGUAAAUAACGCCGUUAGGUAACGUCAGUUCGUGGUCUUCACAUCAGAUACCCUGAUCCAAUUCCACUGCCUCCUGUCCUCCACUUCCUCUCUCUUCUCUCUGUUAAGAAACGCGCUCCCUUCAAUUUCGAUUCCGUCCAACCCUCAGCGGAAUCCACGCUUGAUGCUUGUCGUCUGAACUUAGGCUCUGACAUGUACGUUUCAGCAAUUAGGACUCAGAUUUCAAUUAGUUAUGGGUAUAAGGAAGACAAGAGAGAAACACGAGUAAAAGGGAAAAAGGGGCCGGCCGCCAAUCUUUAUGCAGAGGCGCGCUGGCAAUGACAUCACAAUCCGGACCGUACACUAUGACAACUCGCUGACCAGAGGACGAGGGUUCUAUUAGUGAUGUCGGUUCGUUCGGUGGUACAAGCGACAAUGGUUCUAUUCCCAUGGUCCAGGUGUUGUACGAGGUUGACUGCCUGCGGAAACUGGAAUGAGAGUUUUGGUCGGUUACCGUAUACCAUAGCCGAUCUGGCUUGAAGACGAUGUCACCUGCGACAUGCAACGACCGCACAGUUAUGGUACACAACGACGGCGGCGACUGUUGUUGAUUUCCCACGACAUCUCAAGCCGAUCUAGCCAAACCAGGUGACGGACAACCAGGUGACGAACAAGGUUAAUAGUUAAGGGAUGAUGGAAUGAAGAUAUGACAAAAUGCACCUGAUUGGCUAAUUAAUCUAUUUAUUUUCUUCAUUAAUUAAUCCUGGUGAAAUAAUAAAUGUGGAUUAGUUGAUCAUAUGAUGCAUUCCCGCUUCAAGUCAAUAAAGUUAGACGUUUGAAUGAAAUUACAAUACAUAUUUAUAAUAUCUCACCAUAUCAAAAUAUUUUCCAUUGUGAUCUGUUAGUCACAGUUUUUUUUCUCCCCAGUCAUUUAAAAACUUCACAGGUUCAUAUUUGCAGUACUCCAAGCCUGCUUAAUUUAAGAAUAAUGAGCUUAGU
rnacentral:lncRNA from 1 species